rnacentral:rRNA from 1 species
GGAAUUUUCCGCAAUGGGCGAAAGCCUGACGGAGCAAUACCGCGUGAGGGAAGACUGCCUAUGGGUUGUAAACCUCUUUUUUCAGGGAGGAAUAAAAUGACGUGUACCUGAAGAAUAAGCAUCGGCUAACUCCGUGCCAGCAGCCGCGGUAAGACGGAGGAUGCAAGUGUUAUCCGGAAUCACUGGGCGUAAAGCGUCUGUAGGUGGUUUAAUAAGUCAACUGUUAAAUCUUGAGGCUCAACUUCAAAAUCGCAGUCGAAACUAUUAGACUAGAGUAUAGUAGAGGUAAAGGGAAUUUCCAGUGGAGCGGUGAAAUGCGUAGAUAUUGGAAAGAACACCGAUGGCGAAAGCACUUUACUGGGCUAUUACUAACACUCAGAGACGAAAGCUAGGGUAGCAAAUGGGAUUAGAUACCCCAGUAGUC